CUACGGGAGGCACCAGUGGGGAAUUUUGCGCAAUGGGGGAAACCCUGACGCAGCAAUACCGCGUGAGUGAAGAAGGCCUUUGGGUCGUAAAGCUCUUUUCUUGGGGAAGAUAGUGACGGUACCCAAGGAAUAAGCACCGGCUAACUCCGUGCCAGCAGCCGCGGUAAUACGGAGGGUGCAAGCGUUGUUCGGAUUUACUGGGCGUAAAGGGCACGUAGGCGGCACAGCAAGUUGAGGGUGAAAUCCCGGGGCUCAACUCCGGAACUGCUCUUAAAACUGCUGAGCUAGAGAUAGUCAGAGGCGGGUGGAAUUCCAGGUGUAGAGGUGAAAUUCGUAGAUAUCUGGAGGAACACCGGUGGCGAAGGCGGCCCGCUGGGGCUAUUCUGACGCUAAGGUGCGAAAGCGUGGGGAGCAAACGGGAUUAGAUACCCGUGUAGUC
rnacentral:rRNA from 1 species